rnacentral:rRNA from 1 species
GCAUAUCAAUAAGCGGAGGAAAAGAAACCAACAGGGAUUGCCCUAGUAACGGCGAGUGAAGCGGCAACAGCUCAAAUUUGAAAUCUGGCGUCUUUGGCGUCCGAGUUGUAAUUUGCAGAGGGCGCUUUGGCAUUGGCAGCGGUCCAAGUUCCUUGGAACAGGACGUCACAGAGGGUGAGAAUCCCGUACGUGGUCGCUAGCCUUUACCGUGUAAAGCCCCUUCGACGAGUCGAGUUGUUUGGGAAUGCAGCUCUAAAUGGGAGGUAAAUUUCUUCUAAAGCUAAAUACUGGCCAGAGACCGAUAGCGCACAAGUAGAGUGAUCGAAAGAUGAAAAGCACUUUGGAAAGAGAGUUAAAAAGCACGUGAAAUUGUUGAAAGGGAAGCGCUUGCAGCCAGACUUGCCUGUAGUUGCUCAUCCGGGUUUUUACCCGGUGCACUCUUCUAUAGGCAGGCCAGCAUCAGUUUGGGCGGUUGGAUAAAGGUCUCUGUCAUGUACCUCCUUUCGGGGAGAACUUAUAGGGGAGACGACAUGCAACCAGCCUGGACUGAGGUCCGCG